UCUAAGAUGGCGACUGUGGAACCGGAAACCACCCUUACUCCUAAUCCCCUGCCUACAGAAGAAGAGAAAACAGAAUCUAAUCAGGAGGUUGCUAACCCAGAACACUAUAUUAAACAUCCUUUACAGAACAGAUGGGCACUCUGGUUUUUUAAAAAUGAUAAAAGCAAAACUUGGCAAGCAAACCUUCGGCUGAUCUCUAAGUUUGAUACUGUUGAAGACUUUUGUGCUCUGUACAACCACAUCCAGUUGUCUAGUAAUUUAAUGCCUGACUGUGACUACUCACUUUUUAAGGAUGGUAUUGAGCCUAUGUGGGAAGAUGAGAAAAACAAACGAGGAUGGCUCAUUACAUCGAACAAGCAGCAGAGACGAAGUGACCUGGAUUGCUUUUGGCUAGAGACACUGCUGUGCCUUAUUGGAGAAUCUUUUGAUGACUACAGUGAUGAUGUAUGUGGAGCUGUUGUUAAUGUUAAUAAGAUAGCAAUAUGGACUACUGAAUGUGAAAACAGGCUGUCACACAUAUAGGGAGGGUAUACAAGGAAAGGUUAGGACUUCCUCCAAAGAUAGUGACUGGUUAUCAAUCCCAUGCAGACACAGCUACUAAGAGCGGUUCCACCACUAAAAAUAGGUUUGUCGUUUAA